CCUACGGGAGGCAGCAGUGAGGAAUAUUGGUCAAUGGGAGAGAUCCUGAACCAGCCAAGCCGCGUGAGGGAAGACGGCUCUAUGAGUUGUAAACCUCUUUUGUCGGAGGACAAAACCCGGUACGUGUCCCGGGCUGAGUGUAUCCGAAGAAAAAGCAUCGGCUAACUCCGUGCCAGCAGCCGCGGUAAUACGGAGGAUGCGAGCGUUAUCCGGAUUUAUUGGGUUUAAAGGGUGCGUAGGCGGUCCGUUAAGUCAGCGGUAAAAUUGCGGGGCUCAACCCCGUCGAGCCGUUGAAACUGGCAGACUUGAGUUGGGGAGAGGUACGCGGAAUGCGCGGUGUAGCGGUGAAAUGCAUAGAUAUCGGGCAGAACUCCGGUUGCGAAGGCAGCGUACCGGCGCCAGACUGACGGUGAGGCACGAAAGCGUGGGGAGCGAACAGGAUUAGAUACCCUAGUAGUC
rnacentral:rRNA from 1 species